AAUUUUCUGGGUUAAGACAGGUGUGGUGUUCAUGAGAAACAGCACCGUUUGGGCCUCAAGCCCAAACCAGAUUCAAAGCCACCCAACAAGAAAGGUGCAUAAACUAACACAAAAAGAACAAAAGGUAAAGACGAUUGUGCAAAAGCUGAAACCAAAUCACUCGCAGCCAACACGAACCACGCUAAAAUCGCUUAUCCAAAAAAUCUCAAGGCGGCGACGCGAUUCAUAUCUCUGGUUUCACAGAUCCCUACUUGUGCGUCUCAACAUCAUCAAUACGUUAUUGGCACAACAAUGUCGCGGCCGUGCAUUUGAAGAAGCCCUUGAUGCAGAAUGAUGAAAAAGAAGCCCCUGAAUUCUGAGGCCUAUGAGGUAAUAUAUAGGACUCUAAAAUUUGGUUAGAAAUGCAACUUAAAUGUAGCUCAAAUGUAGAUGAAAUUUAUUUGAAAUGCAUAGUCAGUUAGAAAUGUAAGAAUUCUGUUAGUUAGAAUUGUCAAAUGAGUUAGUUAGGUGUUAAAAAAAUUGUUUUUUGAAUGUUUAUUAUAAGUUAAUCUCUUUUAAAUCUAUGUUAGAUGAUGCGGUUAAGAGUUAGUUUGUUAGUGCAGCUAGUUAGAAAGAUGUUAAUGAAUGUUACUUGUUGUAUAUUUAGUUAGAUUGAAACAAAUUCUUCUGUUAAGUUAGUUAGUUGAAUGGCUUCCUUACUGUUAAGUGCAGUCAGUUGGUGUUUUAAUUAAAUUGAAUGUUAGACUAUUAACUAUUGGAUUGAAAGUUAAUUAUGAUUAAAUGUUAAAACUCAGUUAAUUGAAUUUUAUCAUAGCAGGGUGGUUAGUUGUAGGACCUGUUAUUUGGGUUUGUAAGAUUGUAAAGGGGAUUAUGCAGAAAAUUGUAUGUAAAAUUAGUUAUGAAUGAAAAUGUAUAUAGAAUUGAUUUGAAUGUUUUGGGGAAAAUUGAUUGAAUGUGUAUGGAUUGAAUAUUUGAAAAUUGUAUGGGAAUAGGAUGCUUAAUUUGGAUGAAUACUAUUGGACAGUGAAUGAAUGAAAUGUUUUGAUUAAAGAAAAGUUGAUUGUGUAUUGAAUAUGUAUUAUGGAAAAUGUUUGGAUGCAUUUGGAAAGUUAAUUUAAAUGUGGAAAGUGAAUUUGGAAUUGAAACUUGGUUUAAA
rnacentral:lncRNA from 1 species